rnacentral:rRNA from 1 species
GAUGAACGCUGGCGGCGUGCCUAACACAUGCAAGUCGAGCGAACAGACGAGGAGCUUGCUCCUUUGACGUUAGCGGCGGACGGGUGAGUAACACGUGGAUAACCUACUUAUAAGACUGGGAUAACUUCGGGAAACCGGAGCUAAUACCGGAUAAUAUAUUGAACCGCAUGGUUCAAUAGUGAAAGACGGCUUUGCUGUCACUUAUAGAUGGAUCCCGGCCGCAUUAGCUAGUUGGUAAGGUAACGGCUUACCAAGGCAACGAUGCGUAGCCGACCUGAGAGGGUGAUCGGCCACACUGGAACUGAGACACGGUCCAGACUCCUACGGGAGGCAGCAGUAGGGAAUCUUCCGCAAUGGGCGAAAGCCUGACGGAGCAACGCCGCGUGAGUGAUGAAGGUCUUCGGAUCGUAAAACUCUGUUAUUAGGGAAGAACAGAUGUGUAAGUAACUAUGCACGUCUUGACGGUACCUAAUCAGAAAGCCACGGCUAACUACGUG